CCAAAUCCUGGAGAAGCAUGUUCAAGAUCACUAAAUGUCUAUUAGUGCCUGUCUUUCUCAGGGAAGUUUUUCAAAGUUACAAAUAGAAAAUAGGUUUUUUAAACAGGUCAUAAUUAGGCAGUUGCCCCAACUGAUAGGCUCGUAAGAAACAAAAGACUCAUUUGGAAGUCUCUAGCCUGAACACCACUCCUGGGGGACAAUUACCCGUAUUCCAGAACAGAACCUGUAGGAGUGACUGACCAAGAGCUGUGGCUUCUCUUAGGCAGCUACAGACACACUUACUUGAAAACAGUAUCUCCCCCCCAUCCUCACCCCUUACUUCCCAAUGCUAAGCAGCCUCUCAAGGCUUGGCACCUUUUUCACCACAAAGGAAUAUUCUGAAGCUAUUAAAAGUAAUCCCUGAGCAUUAAUUAUGAAGACUAUACAGAAACUUGUAAAGUAUUGGUGUUACAUGUGAUAAAAGUAGCAAAAUUAAAAAUUCACUGUCAAUGCCAUUAAGCAAUUUUGAAGAAAACAUUAUACAUACUGUAGAUCAAACAGUACUUACUACAACUAUACCUCAAAUUCUGAAUUAAAGAAGCUUUUGGGGACUGCUCUUGCAAAUGUUACUUUUGAUUAUAAUGCUGUUUUUAUGGGAACAAAGCAUUAGAAAUUGCAUGAAAUAACCAAUUCUCGUGUUCCAUCUGAGUCUUAACUGAAGACUGCAACCAUUAACUACCAAAUAGACCAGACAAAUUUGUCCCUCUUUCCCUAAUUCCUUCAACUGAAGUUUAUCUGCUGUCACCUGCGAGGGACAGUGUGGGAAGACAAAGAAAGGGAUAAAGAAAUGUGAGCUUGGUUUCACAUGACGUGGCAUUUGCAGAAACAAACCCAGGAGGAAUGGCAUUAUCUGCAGAUUUCAUUUCCCAUGCUAUCUCUGUCCCUAAUUAACACAGCUAAUUCUGAGUUUGCUGUACCAUCAUUUAUUAACCAUAUUCAAUUAAUCUAAUCAGCUGUAAAACAGGAGAGGGCAACAGUGCAAGCUUUAAUAAAGUAAGCUCAAUGGACUUGAAAAGCUGCUUAGCUGAGGCUCAUGGUGAAUUCCCACACACACAAAGGGCAAAAGUGGCCUUGGUGAAUAAUUUGCUUUGCAUAUUUUAAACUCAGCAUUCUAUUCAUGAGGCCCCAUAUUAUAAUACAGUUUAGAAAAAAAGCAACAGCAGGUAUACAGAUUAUUUUUAAAGUACACUCAGAGGUAAGAGGGUAGAGAAUUCUGGGCUCUUGGGUGUGGAGGGGAUGGACUGGGCCAGAGUAUUGUCAUAUAGAAACAGUUCAGAAAAAAACUAAAUAAAACAGACAUGACCAUCUAACUGAAAGUGUUACAUCUGCAAUUGAAAAGGUGAUAUUUUACAAUGUUAAAUUCAUUUACCCAGUUUUUUACUGAUCCAAAAGUACACUGGUAAUGCCCUAACUGUAACCCUCAGUUACUAACACAAAAAACAAAAACAGAACUGUCCACUCACAUGAUCAUUUUACAGACACACUGUCAUUUCAAGGAUGUCCUCAGGCAGGCCUGGGGCACGAUUUCCACAUCUGGUGGUCACAAUGUUAGUGCUCUCAGUGUGGACAGGGUAGUCAUUAGGUCAGGAAAUGCACAUGUCAGUGAUGCAAAGAAGAAACCCAGUACUCACUGACUGUAUUUUUAACCCCAAUGUCUGUCAGCAGAAUGAAGAAUGUGAAGAAAAAUGCCACUGGCUGUUUUGGGAACAGAAGAAAUCACAACCAUUGGACUGCAGUUCUUUGCAUGGUUUCUAAAAGUGACAGAAGAAAGCCGGAAAAAAAACUGUGCAUUCAGAAAAACUGGUAUUUAAUCUACUUUGCAUAACCCUUUACAAGGCCUCAAGGCUGAAGUCCCUGUUUGGAGAUUAUGACAUGGAGGGCACAGAAGUGGCAGACGUGGCUCCUUUCAGACUUUGCAACCAAUUCCUGAGCGGGUAUGUGAGUAUGAUCCACUACUCAAAUUACAAGAUAGAGAACUGACUGAGAUCGCUUCAAGAAAUGGCUAAAGAGUGCUCCACCACAUGACAAACAAUGAGGUUUAGUUGAAGGUGUCUCUGCUGUGUGGGAACUUCUGCCAUUGCUCCAACAAUCAGAACGGUUUCCAGGGUCCACUGAGAAAAGAGAAGGCAGAAAACCAAGAAAGGAGAGAGACAACAGGCUCACUGCCCAAAAGACCCCAACAGAAAACACAGCAGGUCACAGCUACAGCCGUAGCCCUCCUUCACAGGUAAAGGCCCAGAUACCCUGAGAAUGUGCAGCAGCCAGAAGGCUGCAAAGAACUUGCUGCUGCCAUUACACUGCUAUGCUGUACCCAAGGUCAACGGCUGCUCUUGGACACCUCCUGAAUGCCAGCUGAGGCCAGUGAUAAUCACCUUCACUCUGGGAAUAAGUUUAAAGGAAAACAUUUCUAAUUCUAGCUUUGUAAACUGCGUGUGGUCCAUGACUUUUAAGAGCUAAUUUUCUAGAAAACUGAAGCACACCCCAUUAAGUAACCAAAAUGUUCCCACUCAUAAUUUUUAUGGAAUUUAUUCUAAUAUAAGUGCUUCUUAAAUUACGUGGAAAAAACAAAACCCCCCACUAUUUUCUGAGCUCGACUGCAUGCUUGACCCUGUGCUAAAUGUUUUACUGCAGUACUACCAUUAAACCACCUUGCAACAAUCCUCGACAGAAGAAACUUAGACCCAGGAAGUUAAAGGACUUGGUGACAUAACCCGGCUGGUAAAGGGGUGAUGCUACAUUCACCUGGUACCAUAUCACCUCCUUGAAGAUAACUGAUCUUUUUUUAGAAAAUAUAUUUCUGAAUCACUCUUGGCAUAGUAAGGCAUUGUGGUUCAAAAAAGACUCUGGAACCAGACUUGCCUGGAUUCAGAACUGGACUGGUUUUACCCCUUAACUAGUUGUGUGACCUUGAGAAGUUAUUCAUCCAUUUUGUGCCUCAAUCACCCCACUUGGAAAAUGGGAAUAACAACAUAAUGCACCUAAGAGGUUGUUCUGAGAUUUAAAUGAGUCAAUCCAUGAAAAAUGUUGACUAAUGUAAAAAGCAUUCAAUAAAUGUUAGUUUUUAUCAUUAAAAGCAGGUGUAAUAACAGUGAAACCCAGGAGGAUUACCUAGGCUAGCUGUCUGGACCUACCCUCAGUGAAUUCGGACUGCGUGCACUCACACACAUUCACAAACACACACUUUUCUGUGUGUGUCCCCCAUGUGCCAGAGAUAUACACACAAUAAUGUAUUUCAUUCUCAAAAUGAAAUGAAAAUCAUGCAAGGGAGUUGCCAUCCUUCAUCAAUAAAGAAAAUGGUUAAACAAAGGUUCUCAAAUAGGAAUUAAUAGAAUCAGGAUUCAAACUUGAGCAGCAGCCCAAGUUCUUUUAUUCAUACCAUGUUAUUUUGAGUUCAUAUGUCUACUUUUUCCAUGUUGACAGCAAAUCCUUUGGUUAUCAUUUAGGAUCAGAGUUUUGGAAGGGACUAGAGUGUAUCUAGACCAAAUUCCCCUUUCUGCUUAUGAAGAAAUGGAAGCCCAGGGAGUUUACUAUUGAUUUGCCCAAAGUCAUAUAAUGAAUGCCACUGUCACAGAACCACCCUGCCACUUGUCCUCUUGAAUACUGAUGGCCCUGCCUCUAGGAGGCCCUCAGCCCUGCUCCAGAUCUUUCAUGGGCUCAGAGGAACCAAUGACCACUAUACAAAUCAAGAAUGCAAAGGCUAAGUGAGGACUCCAGGGGCUUCCCUAGGAGGCAAAUGGGCUUUGUUUCAUCAAGUUUAGUUGCUUGGGCCUGUCUGCUUCCUGGUUCACAGCAGCAUUCUGGACUCAGGGCUGGCAAACAAACCAGGUGUCAGUCUAGUCUGUAAUAUCACUGUGAUUCUGAGGAAAACUGCCAGAUAGGGAUUGACAACAAUACCCAGGGUAGAAAACUUCACUCGGAAAUAAAAAGAAAGGAUGGGCUAGCAUGAAGUUUAAACUUAAUGUGUCAAAGGAAGGAAGCUCACAAUGUAGCUGUUCCUAGCAUGUCACAGUCUCUCCAGGGCCAACGACAUCUGAGCCUAACCCACAGCCCCAUGCAGAGGCAGCGCUGAGACUUCCCACAUAAUUUGUUUCCUUUUCACAAAAGAGUUGGGCUCAUAAUUAAACUCUGUCCCCUCCUGCCCCCAUUCUGCUGUGUGCAUAUUUGACCGCUUCUUACAGGACUGGGUUAGAGGCCAGGAGACAACCCAAAACUGCAAGGUCAUGGCCAGCAGGCAAUGUGAUGCAUGUCUGCACUAACUGUUACUGGGGCUUGUCCAGGGAGAGGUGGAUUUCAUCAUUCUACUCAACACACUUUUAAGAGUUUGCUGGUCAUUUUACACAGUUCUUAGAGACCACUGGAAGGGUCCGCUUCUGUGGGCUAAGUGCCAAAACACUGAGACCACGGAAAACACCAGGACCCAUUCUGAAAGGAGCGGGUUGUCGCGGACUGAGUGUGGUCUGCAACUGAAAUCCCAGGCUCAGGUCUUGAUCGAUCAAGUCAAUUACCCCCACAGAACCUUAGCUUCCCUGUCUAGAACAGGAAGAUAGUAAUCUCUACCCAUGGAUAUGAUUAUUGGGGAGCUUAAACUGUGAUGUAGGUAAAAGUAUUUUAUAAACUAAAAGGUCCAAGUGAAGGUGAGGGGGAACUGAUACCGUCUGCUCAUCUAAUUGGUCUCUCUGCAUAAAAUCCUCAGUGACUUCCCACUGCUCUCAGGUUAAAGUCCAGACUCUUGAACAGGUUUAAAAGCCCUUCACAACCUGCUCUCUAAUUGCCCUUCAUCUUUACCUGUCAUAUGCCUGACUUCAUUUCAGUCUUCAGCUAAACAGGAUACCGCGAGUUUCUCUAGAGGGCUGUGCUGUCUGUCUGUCACACCUGCAGGGGGGAGCCUGCCUCCUCAUACUCUCCCAUUCUUCCCAGCUAACUUCUCUGAUUUUAGCUCAGGUGUCAUUUUCCUCCCAGAAGCUUCCCUCUACUUCUCUAUGCUUUCCUAACAUCUUCUAUCUAUCCCUUUGUAGCCCUUUCCAUCUACUGUGUUAAAUUGCCUAGAUACUUGUUACUCUUUCCCCUCUCAAAAUGUUGUGGACUGAACAACAUUGUUGACUGAAUGGGUGAAUUCAGUGAAAAUGAAAAUGCCUUAGUGUCUGACUAACAGAUCUCUGCAGUUUCUCCCACCCUGAACUUCAUAAGCAAACUCACCCUACCCCAGCCUCUCCUUUCUACUGAUAAGAAAACAAAGGCCAUGAGAUGCUAAAAGACUUGGCUAAAAUCAAAUGGCUCAUCAAUGGCAGAGAUGUGCUGGGACCCUACAUUUCCUAACUCAAUCCCUGAAUUUUCUCCCACAGAAAGCUGACUACGUUCAGACUGUUUGCUAUAACAUCAGUGUCUUUUCAUAGCAAGAGAACUGAAAAGGCAGACGAGAUUUAAGAGCAAGGAGGCUUGAAAUCAGAAAACGAAUGCUCACAGCCUGGCUCUGUGUGACACAGAGCAAUCUCCAGGCCUCUAGGCCUCAAGUACCUCAUCUGUCAAAUGGAAAUUUAGCACCAGCAUACCUAAGCAGCAAAAGGCUCCUAUUAUCUAGAUUACUUUUCACCUACCUCACCGCAUUUUAUGUGAAGAAAAUGAACUGAUCUGAAAAUACUUCAUACACCUCUUCUCAAAGAAAUAUUUUACAACUUUCAAGUAUCUAUUUCUCUGGUAACAGUUAGCUUUAUUGUUCAAACUAAGGCAUUUUUAAGGGCAGGAUUUACAUUCAUGAAGCGAUUUCUUUGUACUAAUGAAAGAAGGUUUACAAGAUCGACACAGCCUUUGCUUGAAUUAACUAAUGUCACUACGUCUGCCUCCUGUCUCCAUGCCAUCAAAACACUAUCACCCACAAUCAUUAACGAAAGAACUAAGAGGACAAACCCUUUUUUCUUUACAGACACUACUUGGUUUCACAGACUCACAGAACACUGCAGCCAGAAGAGACUGGGAAGACCAGGGAAGCCUGCACUUGCCUUUCACAAUAAGACAACAUCCUAAUCUAAACGUUCCGGGGAGGGACUGAUUGGAAACACACACCAAUUGUUUUUCAGAGUACUAUAUGUUUUGCAAUGAUUAGAUGAUUUGAACAACAAAGAAGAGGUAAAUCAUAUAAUGAAAUCACAACAUAAAUUUAACAUGUAAUGGUAUUUAUCAAAAUUGACGGCUGGAGGGCCAAGAUAGAGGCACACCUCUGAUAUUAUGUAUGUGUGUUUUAAAAUUUAAUUAUAAUGGAAGUGAAAGAAAUUAUUUUGCUUGUCCCAUCAAUUUUUCAUGCUAUAUAAGACUGGAAAUUUUCAAAACAAUAAUACUUAGGAAAAACAGGAAACGCACUGACAUUGUUUGUGAACCAUACCCUCCUCAGUCUGUCAUUGUUCAUUACUGGCUGGGACAGAGACAAGCACCAAUUUUUUAUUAUCCAGUUCUAAACAGUGUAAGAGAGCGAUGUAGUCGAAAGUCAGCAUUACUUCUCACACUAUCUCAGGCAGAACUUUCUAACUCCUUACUCAAUAGUUUACUCCAACUGCUAACAAAAGCAGAAGAGAUUGAAGAAGUAGCCAAAGAAACUAAGAGAGGAGGAGCAUAGAAUGUUGUUUUCAUUCUUGUCCUCUUCCCAAUCCAACUCCCUCUCCCCAAACCCUGGUAGGGGUGAGGUGUCAGUGGAGAGUGGAAUGACAAAGUGGCCCAAAUCAUUCCAAAAAUGGAAUAGUUCUCAUAAUAAUUCUCAAUACAUUAGUCCAGAUUUUAUUCAGAUAACUUUAGAAGAGAAAAAGUAAAAAAUUACUUGUUGAAAACCAUAAACAGCUGCUCCAUCCAAAUUCACAAGCAACAAACAAAUUACAGUGGGGUUAGUCACUGACAUCUCAUAAUGCAAACUUUUUCUUUGUAGUGGGCUUUGUGUAUUUGUAUGAGAUUAGAACAUUUUGCAAUGCCUAUUCCAGAUAAAUAUCGCAUAGAGUCAUAAGGAACAAAUUCUUAUAAUUCAACUUCUAAUAGAUCACCCUGUAUUCCAUGUCAAAACUUGACCGUGUAUUUUAGAGAUUGUCCUUCUACUUCAUACAUUAGGAAAAAAAUCUGUAAGUUAUUAAAAUAAUGACUGCCAAGUUCUUUGCCAAAAUAUGUAAAAUUAUAAUGUGUUGUGGGGAAGUCACGUCAGCCCCAGCUCUGCCCGCAGAAAGCUGAGCAACACUACACAUUGCUUAACAGUUUUGUGGUUGGUUGGUAACAUGAUGGGCUGGGAUUCCAUACAUAACCCACUUUUGCAAAGUGCUUUGAAAUCCUACAAGGCUAUCACAGGACUGCAAGUAGCACUGUCAUCCAGCCUCUCCUAUGCUAACAAACCUAAAUCUGAUGAACGUGGGGACAUGCAGAGAGCUUUAGCACUUUCUCCUGGAAGCCAAAAAUUAGAAGUCUGGGCUGAGGAAGAUGAGAGCUCCUUGGAAAAUGUUCAAAGGUUCAGCAACAGGUAAAUACCGAAAUGCCUAAUUAAACUGAUACUGAAUGCUUCAGGUAAGACAGAAAGAAAACAUACUUCAGCACAGCCCAGUAACAGGGCUGCUGCCGAGAACUGUUUCAAACUGUUUCCACUGCUUGAUGUGGCUUCCCAAGGAAGUCAUGAAUAACUCAGUAACUAAAAAAAAAAAGCAGAGGUAUUUCUUCCUCUAAAGACCAUCAUGCACUACUUCCUUUAAGAUUCCUUAUUUCAACUCAAAAUAAGAAAAAUCCACAGACACAAAACUGAACAUAGGAAAAGGACACAUCUCCAGAUACAAUAAUACCCAAUAAUCAUUCAUGGAUAAUAUUUUUAAUACUGAAAUUUAGCUAUAACAUGUUGGAUAGCAAAUAGCUAUCUAUUCAUUUUAGGAAAUAGCAAAUGUGAAGGAUAAUGCCACCCACUCUCUCCCUCCAUUGUCAUGGCAGACAGCAGAAAUACAUCACAGCCCUCAGUCUUGCAGAGCUCAGACACCACAGAACUCUGCACAACAGAGCGUUCCAGGCGGCCACUACCAAUCCCUCAGUAUUGGUCUUCAUGCUGAAGCCUAUUUCAUCCCGACUUGGUAUAUUCUUCAAAUAUGCCAAAAUAUUGAAAUGAUCUUCGGAGGAAGCCACUUCAUGAUUGUUUCAAGACUAUAUAGUAGGACCUUCGUUUAAGCCAUAAAAUGGUCAUUUCUCCAUUUUGUAAUUUUUAAAUGGUAUUAAGAGCAGAAAACAUGAUUGUAAAACAUUAGUUUUACUCUAGACACUAUGCAGUUCCAGUGAGAUAUACAAGCAUUUCGAUGUAAUAAAUGUUUAUAUUCAUCUUUUUAAAAAUAGAAUAUGGCCUUAUUCAACUCAAAUGUCAGUUCCAAACCACUCACUACCCUUCCCUCAAACAAGUGCUGGGCAGAACACUGACACAAACACAGCUCCAUCUGCUAAUUAAAACUGGGCAUGAAACUGUUAACAGGCAUCUGUUGCAUUGUUUGAAGCUAAUGGGCAGAGACAAAGCUGAAAUGGCUCUUCUAAAGCAAACCCACUGAUUUCAUUCAUUUUCUCUUUGGUAUUUGGGGGGUGUUGGAAGCGGGUGUUAAACAGCUUAUUAUGGAGGCUGAAAGAUAAGUGAAAUAUCUUUCACCGUCUAAACAUCCCUUUAAGAUUGAUUAUAGAAAGAAAGAUCUACAGCAUUUUAUAUUGGGGGAAAUAACACUCUUGCGUUAAGAAGUCAAAUGAAGCACUUUUAAUCUCAGACAUCAUCCAUCUAUAAUAUUAUGAAAGAUAACAAAAACUAUAAUUCAAGCAAUGUUUUACAGCUCCAUAGCGUGCUUUCACAAUUCAUCCAGCCAGCCACUCAUUCAUCCAGUUGGUUAGUUAUUUAAUACAGGCUUUGGAGAUUUAAAAGGUGAGUAAGACUUGAUUCCUGCCCUGGGGAAUGCAAUAGCAACCCUGUAAAGUUGGUACAGUAUUAUUACACUCUAUCAUAGAUGAAAGAACUAUAGAAAGACAAUUGACUCACUAAAGGCCAGAAAACUAGGAAUGGCAGAUGCCAGAACAUGACCCCAGAUCUGACCCCAGACCCACUGCUCUUCUUAAUUCACCAUGCUACCUCCUUAACUCCAAACAUGAAACAGUCUACUUCAUCUGCUGCUUACAUUUCAGAAGCUCUGUAUUAUGUUAUAUUCCACAUUACUCACCAGCUAACACCCACUUCCUCAUCCCUGCUCCAACCCUCUUCUCAAUCCUGCUAUGAGAACUCUUCCCCACGAGACUUCCCCAAGUAGCAAAUCUAACACACGCAAGAGAGCUGGUCCCCAGACCGGCUGCGUGUGCAGGGCAAGCAGACCUAAUCCAGAGCCAGCUUCGCACCAUGCCAGCAGCUUCUUGGUCUUCCACUUCUGGUUCUGCGGUUCUUUUCAGAUUUGGUUAUUGGAUUCAUUUCAAAAACCAACUGCUAAAUUUUUCCUUGUCCUCAAAAACUAUACUUAUUUCCCUCGAACACAGCAUCCAAACCUACUUCCCUCUAGCUUUUCUCAGUGGAUCCAAACAAUCGUGGUGCUGUUGCCGAGAGAACCUCCUUGCUGACUUGCUGCCAUGAAGAACAGCUGGUGAAGUUCUUUGUUAAAGUGCACUUAUUCUUAAGACUUGUCUGUAUCUGUAUCCAAGACUCAGUCUCCCCACACUCAUCUUUAAUUUGAAUGGCUUUUCUCAUUCACUAGAACACUUAGGACAACAGCUGAACUCUUUACCAUCAAGUUUUAAAUUUUACUUUUUCUAAAAGCUAUUACUUAGAUGGGAAGCCUACUGACAGCUGUGGAAGAACACAAUGACAUUAAAAUAAGGUUUGAUGUACAAAAUGUUCAAUACAAAGUUGCAUGUUUCUUGCACAUUUUUGUUUGAAAAGCUGCAACCAAGGGAAACAACUAUGAAAAUUAAAAGCAACUUGCUCUAUGUGUCUGGAUCACGCUCAGCCAAAUGUUGCUAACAACUUGGAUAAAAAUGUAAAUAUGACAAAGUUUGUUUUGCAGUCAGUAAGUCUUGAUAAAAGCUUUGUAUUUCUACCAACCAAGAACAGUUUUAAUUUUAAACUGGGGUUAGCAAACUUUUUCUAUAAAAGAACAGUUAGUAAAUAUUUUUCAGUUUUGUGGGACACAUAGGGUCUCUGUUGUAUAUUGUUCUUUGUAUUGUUUUAUUUUUUUUUUAACCCUUUAAAAAUGUUAGAAACCGUUCUUCGCUGUGGACCGCACAAAAAACAGACUGCAGGCCACAUCUGGCCUGUGGGCCUUAGGUUGCCAACCCUGAUUUUAAGGAAAGUGAAUCCAAGAAAAAAAAUGCAAUGUUAUAGAAUAAAACAUCUAAAAGUGCUCUCAUGAGACUAGGCUGCAACAAUUACCAGCAUACUGAUAUUAAUAUAAUUUCCUUAGUUGUUUUGCACAUGGAAGGAAUUUUAAUGACAGGCUGCAUGCACUUUGAUCUACCCUGAAACUACAGACAUUGAAAGAAAGGGCAAAGGAGAGCUAGAAUAUGCUGCGCUAUCCAAGUAUGAAUUCCUAUAGGACUCAGAGGCAUUGUAUUAGCAUUUACUAUUUCCCUGAACAGAUCUGGCUAAUCAAAACGGGAACAUCUUAACUUUCCCUUACAUAAAAGCAUACGUGCAAAAACGAAUUUUUCCCUGGAAGAGGUGGUGACUUGAAUUUAGGGAGCUGAUCAGAGUGAUCAGAAAGAGCAGCAGCUCAGGUUUGAGAAGUGAUACAGACUUGGAUUUGGGGUUUCACUAGAGACUCUGCUACAACCAGCUGUGUGAUCUUGACGCUAUCAACCUUAGUUUUCUCAUUUAUAAAACUGGGACAGAAGGAUAAAGUUUUCUGCUGUCAAACUGUGACUACACAAAAAUAAUGAAACCACUCAGGAAAUACCCUAACAGGAAGGAGGGGGUGGGGCAGAGGGGCAGACAGUAAAGGGAAGAAGACGGUCCUGUUAGAGGACAUGGCCAGGCUCAGUUCAGGUCCUUCUAAGAAGUCAGCAUGCCUUCGAAUCAAAAUUAAAAUGAACCCAUAUCCCACUGGACUCACAAUACAUAGCUAGCUGUAUUAUAUUUCCUAUAAUUGCCUUUUGCUUGUUGUCUUCAUGUUCCAUUUUGCAGACAUUUAAUUGAAUGUUAAUUAUGACUGUGUAAGGGGUUUGGGGGAGCCGAUCAAAAACCUCUUCUUAGUUCUCAAACACUUGAACUGGAAGGCUAGUUGGUCCUAGGCACUGGGCUAUAAUUUCAAAUGAAUAAAAUAUCCCUAUUCAAUUGUUAAUAAAUAUUAUCUGACUGAUAUUCUGGAAGAUUCCCAAUAAGCCAACUGAAAAAGCAGAAAGGAAAUGAGGGAAACUGAGGUAUCUGAGAAAAUGGCAGAACCUUAGAGAAGUAAAAAAAAAAAAAGUAUCUGUGAGACAACUGUAUCUGUAAUCCAAGUGACUAAUUGUCUCCUUCCUUCCAUGAUGGCAGAGCAGCUAGAGAAACAGCAUCUAGACAGCAAAGGCCCUUUUUUUAAAACUACUUAAACUUUGACAAAGCAAAAUUAAGACUUAAAAUGUGUCUUCGUGGGAAGAAACAGCCGCACAUACUUAUCUACCAAAACAUACACACAAACCCCAGACAUUAAGAAAUGGACCUUUCCUGUGAAGUAGACCUUAUCAAGUUUUGUCAGCUAUGCUGAGGCAGACCAUGUCAAAACUCAGUCAGAAAAGCCCAGGAACUUAAACCACCUAGGGACCUCAAGAAAUAGUUACGAUUAGGAGGAGAUGAACCAUCCUCUUACCUGAACAAUUUCAGAUCACAGGGGACAGGGAUGAAGGUUUCAGAGGGUGAACACUGCUGUUAGAGAUGCAGACACUCUGAUUCUACGGUUGUAGUCAGUGAAGAGUGUGUGGAACUUUUCACUAAAAUGGUGGUCGACAUUCACCUUAUUUUCCUAGCUUAAUUUCAACUACAAAGCUUUAGGUUUCAGGUAUAUAAAUUCUGCUGUUUGAAGGUCGUGUGACACCACUUCCUGUCAGGGCACUGAGGCUAAAUAAGAGGUAUGGAUUUCCCCUCCUCCAUGCCAACUGAAGACACAGUUGAGAGCCUCUUUUUACCACAUCCACCCCAAAGAACAUAUAAAGACCAAGAUCACACAUGAGAUUCACCCCAUUUAACAUCUACCUCCUGUUCAAGACAGUUUUAGGACACUGCAACUCUCCACAGAACCAAAUUUCAAUUAUUAAAAAAAAAUCUAAGCAAGAAAGAUUUAAUCCUUUAGGAUGAAAGUAAUUGUUAAAAGCUACUAUUGUAAAAGGAAACAGACACCCAUGUAAGGGGAAAAAAUUAAGGCAAAAAAAGAGAAAACUAAUAAAACUAUUAUAAAUGAAUUACAGUCAUCCAAGGAACUUAGCAGAAAGAGCAUCAAAGAGAUUCACUUACUUUCAACACAGAAUGUUUCUGGGAGGGUCACACACAGACUGAACAAAAGGCUACCCACUCAACUUGUUAGAAAUUGUCCUUUACCAUCUGGAUUGCAGGAUGCAUUCAACAAUGAAAACGAGUUAUUUGGGAUUUUGAAAGUAGUACCAGCAUCAAAAAUUAACUCCCUUUAGUUACAUCAAAAAUGAACGCCCUUUAGUUGCUGUAACAGCUCCCACCAAAUCUCUUAGGAAUAUACUUGAGAUGUGACAUUUAAAAUCUGCUUCCUCAGAAAAGAAAAAGUCCCACUCAAGAAUGACUGCCAAGAACUUGCAACUCAAACUUCCCUAAGCCCAGAUAUUUUGACACCAGGGAAGUUUCGGACCACUCGAUUCAUAUGAAAGAGGCCAACAAGCCACAGCCUUUCCUAGUACUUGAUUUGAAGAACAUUGUAUCACCAUUCUCUUUUUAAAUACAUUAUUCUUAAAACAUACAAAUAUUCAAAUACACUUAUUACCACAGCACUGGCCCCUGGUAUCCCAGAAGUUCAUGGUGGAAUAUGCUGGUAAGAACCAUUUGGAAGAUGCUUAAGUUAGUUACUAUAACAAUCCACGAACAUCACCCAGACAACCAAAAGCUAAGAUUCUUAAAGGCGUUAAUUAAGUGCAGCUAUUAAACAAGGGAAAUGAUGUUAAGGUCACUUGUACAGGCAUCUUAAAACCAGCUUUGAUUUGCUCUUCAGUUUAUGGUAAAAGAUCUUGGUACCUGAACACAAAGUCUCCCACUACAAAAGAAGGAAAGAUAGCUCCCAGCCAAGAUCAGGAAAAAACUGCAUCAAAGGUAAUUGGGGAGGUAUUUUGCAUGUUGUGAUUCAUUUAUCAAGUAAUAAUUAAAACCGAAGCAAAAUAUACAGAGAAGCAUGCGGAAUGUAAGAUCAGUUUCCAGCUGAGAAGCUGUUACACAUACAAGCCCAAGAAGUUAAAAAGUUGACAAGUGUUGCGUCUCAGGAGAUGGUAGUGAAAGGGUGAACAAUUUUUUUUCCUGAUCACACCAUCCCCAAAGUCACUGGUUCUCUAACACCCCUUAAAACUCACAGAACAAUUUAAUGCUCCACAGACACUCCAUCAUUAGUCACUUUUUGCUCUUGAUCCUGCACUUGAUCCAAAGGAAUUAGAGGGAAAAUGGUAACCAGACUCCCAGUUCCUGGAGAAAGUCCUGUGCUCCUACUGCUUUCCAUUUCCCCUCCGUUUCCCACCUUUUCUGCUCAACCACUCUACGGUAUAUUCUGCUUCCCCUUUUCCUAUCUCAUAUCCAGAAAUCCUUUACUUUCUCCACUAAGUACCCUCAUUCCUUCCUUUCGGUGCCUGAACUCUUCUCCCCAUCUAGUCAUUUUCUUCUGCCCCCUCCUGUGAAGAGAUGUCCAGACCUCUUGCGGCCGGUGCCCCUCAUCCUUCACCUCCUGACCACUCAUUCCCCUGAAUUCCCUCCCUGCUGCCGGGUUCUCGCCUCUCUUGUCCCUUGUGU